rnacentral:rRNA from 1 species
UACAGAGGGUGCAAGCGUUGUUCGGAAUUAUUGGGCGUAAAGCGCGUGUAGGCGGCUUUGCAAGUCGGGGUGUGAAAGCCCUCAGCUUAACUGAGGAAGUGCGCCCGAAACUGCAGAGCUUGAGUACCGGAGAGGGUGGCGGAAUUCCCCAAGUAGAGGUGAAAUUCGUAGAUAUGGGGAGGAACACCGGUGGGCGAAGGCGGCCACCUGGACGGAUACUGACGCUGAGACGCGAAAGCGUGGGUAGCAAACAGG